rnacentral:lncRNA from 1 species
CAACCGCUACCAAGAUGAUGAAAGAGAUGAUUGAAGAGGGUUUUGAGCCAUCUGUUUUCGCAUAUGGGGCAAUUAUACAUGCAUAUUGUUUAAAGAAGAAUGUUGGUGAGGCCAUGAAGAUUUUCGAGGAAAUGUGUUCUACAUCUAUGGUUCGUCCCAACAUUGUGAUAUACACCAUUUUAAUAGAUGCUCUAUGCAAAACUAACAAUGUUGAAAAGGCUGUUUCUUUGAUGGGUGACAUGAAAUUAAAAAGUGUCCGGCCUAAUACAACUAUAUAUAAUGUUAUUCUCAAGGGGCUUUGGG